UACGAAGGGUGCAAGCGUUACUCGGAAUUACUGGGCGUAAAGCGUGCGUAGGUGGUUUGUUAAGUCUGCUGUGAAAGCCCCGGGCUCAACCUGGGAAUGGCAGUGGAUACUGGCAAGCUAGAGUGCGGUAGAGGGGUGUGGAAUUCCCGGUGUAGCGGUGAAAUGCGUAGAGAUCGGGAGGAACACCAGUCGGCGAAGGCGGCACCCUGGACCAGCACUGACCACUGAGGCACGAAAGCGUGGGGAGCAAACAGG
rnacentral:rRNA from 1 species